UUGCCAAGAUGGGUAAUUAACAUAUCCCAAAAACA
rnacentral:tRNA from 1 species